UACGGAGGGUGCAAGCAUUAAUCGGAAUUACUGGGCGUAAAGGGCGCGUAGGCGUCUAAGAAAGUUGCGUGUGAAAUAUCAUAGCUUAACUAUGGUGCGGCACGCAAAACUACUUGGAUAUGAGGUAAAGUGGGGAAAAGGGAAUUCCACGUGUAGCGGUGAAAUGCGUAGAUAUGUGGAGGAACACCAGAGGCGAAGGCGCUUUUCUAACUUUAACCUGACGCUGAGGCGCGAAAGCAAGGGGA
rnacentral:rRNA from 1 species